CCGAAUGAUACUAGCAGGAGAGAUCUGGGUGGUCCAGACGCCGAAGGAGAAAAUCUCUUGAAGUCGCUUUUCAAGAGGGGAAACUCUCAGGCAAAGGUACGGCUAGUAGACGGUACUCUGGAGAGUUUCUCUAAGCAGAGAACACCAAAGGGGAAGUCGGAGACGGCGAAUCUCUCAGGUUAAAGGACAGAGAA
rfam:Desulfosporosinus acidiphilus SJ4, complete genome.